CUUAAUACAUAGGAUGAAGCAUAACGGUUCAGUGUCAGCCAGACACAUAAGGCACAUGGAGGACAAUGAGGUGAUUUGAGACAGCCAGUGUAGCUUCACCGAGGACAAAAGAAAUGUCACUCAUGUCAUCUGUCUGGCCUUCCACACCAUACGGGGAAAAUGGAGAAGAUGCAAAUUAGCAGAAGAAAUUUCAGGAGAGAAGAAGAUUUUUACGCACUACUGCUCCAAAGGCUGGUAGCACUUUUGGACUCUGCAAGCUGCUUGCUUCAGCAAAAAAACAAUCUGAUUUCUGCAACCCAAGAUGAAAAGAAGCUGUUUACAGAAGCUCACCAAACUUUAGAACUUAUGUAUGUAGGGCGACAUUAUUUAAACUUUCAGUCUUCCUCUUUUAUUUCCUAAUAGCAUGGAUAUAGCCAAAGAAAAUGCCUGCAGUGCCACAUUAAGAGGCCCCUCUGGCACGGGGGCCAACUUUCAAACUUUUUUUUUCCUCCAAAAUAGAGCGACCAUUUAAUCAAGAACAGUGCAGGGCUAUGCCAAGCCCUGAAUUAUGCCUGGGAGUUAUUUAGGAAACUUUGAGCAUAAAAACACUCCAAGCUCUAUUCUAACAAUUAAGCAAUAUAAACACUCGCUUGUGUCUAAGACUGUGCCAUAGCAUUGUUUAAUUUACUUUUACUGCUAAUAGGAGUAAAUGCUUGUAAUAUGAAGUAUCUCAGUAUCUCAACUCCCCCCCGUUAUCUCCUAGCAGCACCUCUGCUUUGACCUGCCUCCCCUACAGACAGCAGUUUCUCACAAUCGCUGAGCACUAUUUCUAGUUACAGCCCUUCCUGUGAACAUGCAGCUGCUUUUUUUGACCAGCAAGGAGCCAGGUAUGGAUGUUUGGCAUACUUCCCACUACAUCCUUGCCGCAGCUCCAGUGGUGUGAUCCACACUCAGAUGUGACUGCAGCUGGUGCAGUUCUUUGUUCAGAUGCUUUAGCUACAGACUAAACCACCUCGGGAGAUGGUUUGUGUGAAACAGAAAGAGGUCAGCUUGUAGUCAGAGGGAGGGAAUUCCAUGUUCAUCGGAGGUUUUCAAGAUGUGACUGGACAGGGUGCUAGAUAACCUCAUGUGACCCUUCCCAUGAAAGGCUGAUGGUCUCCUCUCAGCUUUUUCUUCUGUGGUUGUUGCAGGAUGUAGAGUCAAGAGUCUGUUCUCGCUCUUGGGAUUUUACUGUUGUUCUUUCAAUCUCUUAGUUUUUUUCCUUACAGGCCACUCUUCUGGACGGAGCUUUCCAUACAAGACUUUAACCUUGCACACCAAGAUGAAAAGUAAGCUCCCUCUUUUUAAUGGUGGCAAUGAAAGGUUUCUGAACAUGGCCUCCUUACAGGGUCAAAAUCAUGGAAGUAACAGAACAACUCCACAUUCUGAUUUAUUUUUUAAUCUCCUGACUCUGAAGCCCUCACUCUGAAAAGUGAGGACAUUUGAAGGAAUCAAAAAUAUCUCAUUAACUCGCUUUAGUGAUACAUGACAGAGUUAUUUAGAAAAUUCUGAGAAUGUGGAAUAUCACCUUACAUUAACGUACUAUAGACAAGGUUCUUACUUGUUCAGUAAAUUAAUUUUAAAAGUUCAGAAUGCAAUACUUGGUGCACAGAUAUUGCCACUAGAUGGGAGUCAAGAGCUGGGUAGGAACUGGGAGCAUCACUGCCAUGGGAUGCACUCAGGGUGCUCUCAGCUGCCACCCUCAGCUGUGACAUGCCAUAUUGGAGCUGCACACUAAUACACCUGGGACCACUUUCCUAAGCGUACACAAGCAGGUUAUUCACUCAACUGGAAACCUUUUUUUUUAAAUGAAUUGGUAGUGGUGGUGAUGAAUUGUCGAGGGAGUGGGAUAUUUUUUAAAUAACUGUAUUAAUUCUCUGCCUCUAAAUGGCUUUGCCGUAGGAAAUUCUCUGCUUUCAUCUGCAGCACUGAUGGAUAGGAACAUCUUUCACGUUAUCUCAUCUGCAUGAGGUCUAUUAAAAAUACAGCUGCCAAAGGCUUUUACGGGCCAGGAAUGCUAUUAGCUUAUGUGUUAAAAGGAUGGAGUUUGAGUGCUUACAAUGUCACACUCUCUCUGUGUAGCUUUAGGCAAGCUGCUUUUUUUCUGUAUUUCAGUCCUUCCUUGACUCCUUUUUUUUUUCCUAUUUAAGUGUCAUAUAAUGGAAUUUCCAUUCUUCCUCAAUGGAGAGGAAUACUAUAGUGACUGCACUAUCAAAACAUUGUACAAUAGAGAAAUGCCUUCGAGCAAUUAGUAGAUAUAUUUUUUAAUGAAAGUCUGUUUUUUUUGCAGUUUUGGAUGGCUCCUUACAUUUAACUUUAGACAGGAUAAUAGAAAUUUGGUCCAUAUUGUUGCCUAAAACUUUUUGUAAAAACUGAAUAAAGAAAAAAGAUUUAAAAAAUGUAAUAAUUUGAAAAAAAAAGGCAUAUUGAUCUCAGCCAGAAGGGGUCUGGGUUGAGUAACCAGUGGUCUAAGCUGGUCUUUGUAAGGAAUCAUAAGUAACGGAUAAAAUAAUAAGGAAAAAAGGCAGUUAACACAAAACCUUUGCCAAAGUUUUUAAACAGUGACACAGACAGAAAGAAGUAUAAUUUGACAUCUCUGACAAAUGACUUCUAGAACAUCCUGGUAGGACCUUAAAGUGCACUGCAAUACGAGUGUGCUUUCACAUCCUCAUUCUGGGAGUUACGGUAACUUCACAGAGAUGGACAGAAGGACUCCGAGGAUCCCUCAUAGCCAUAUCUGCCAGAUUUUGCAAUGACGUGUUAUUAAACCUGGAGUUUCUUUUGCCUCUUUUUCCCUCUUAACUUUUUCUCUCUUUUGCUCUUAUCUUACAUUUCUCUAUAUUUUUUUUUCUUCAGUCAAGAAUGUGUGUUCAUUGACUCCGCUGGCACAGUUUGCCUGCACACACAGCAGCUAAUUGAAUCAUAUUAACAUUGGUGUUCUCCAGUAAAAAAGGUACAAAUAAGAACACCAAACCCAGAACUUAUGCAUCAGGGUCCUUGUUGGAGUCUGGCUGCCUGUGAUCUGGGCCAGCUUUGAUGUGGCCUCAUUGGAGACCUCUGCCUGUCCACUCAGGCUCAGUCUUGUCUUUUUGCUGAUCCUGACCUGCUCACUCGUGUUGCUGUCUUGCUGGCCCAGCUCUGCUCUUCUGGCCAGGUCCUGUGGGAUGAAGCAGUGUUAGGGGGUGGGUACUGCUCUGCCUCUCAUCAUCAUCCACAGCUUCUACCUCUGCUGCCCUCACUCAGCGCCUGCUCCUGUUACCCCCUAAUACUGUAUUUUCCAUUCUUGUCGCUUUCUCUCUCCUUUUGAAAAUUUGUCUUGCUUUGUCCUGAAGAAAACAGUAUGGCAACAUUAGCAACUUCAUACCAUCUCAAUAAAAUUGCCUUUUGUCUUCUCCCGAUGAAGGACUACCUAAAUGACAGUCAAUUGUUGAAAGUUUCCAUCAGCCCCCUCUCCACCUUUUAAAGAAGAGAAAUAUAUUGUCAUGCUGUUAAAAAUAAAACCUCAAUAUUUUAACUAUCUUUCCUUUAAGAAGUUUUAAUAAUGUUUACCAUGAGAAGAACCAUGCCCAAAUCUCUUGACUCAGAUUUCCAUAUAAUUUAAUAGUUUAGAUUCUGCUUGGGAUGAGUCUUACAGAUGCCUCUAACUUCUGUACUCAUUUGGUCCACCAAAACUACCAUAAACCUAAUUACUGAUCAAAGAAACCUUUUUGAAGCGCUUUUCUUUGUCUAAGAAGGCACUUAAUCUAGUCAAACUGAAAAGAUUGGUAAUCAAGAGAUCUUGGAUGCCCAUUGCUGAAAUUAUGUUUUAAAUAUGAUACAUUGAGGAAGUGGAUUUUCCUUUGCAGAAGGAGGAGCAUAUUCUUGCAGACCAGAAACAACCUGGGCUUCCAGAUUUCAGUCCCCCAAGAUGAAGAGAAGGCUCCAUGGAGACCUUAUAGCAGCCUUCCAGUACUUAAAGGGGGCCUACAGGAAAGCUGGUGAGAGGCUCUUUAUCAGGGAGUGCAGGGAUAGGACAAGGGGGAACGGUUUUAUGAUGAACGAGGAGAAAUUGACAUUAGAUAUUAGGAAGAAAGGUUUUACUGUGAGGGUGGUGAGGCACUGGAACAGGUUGCCUGGAGAAAUUGUGGAUGCCCCACUCCUAGAGGUGUUCAAGCCCAGCUUGGAUGGGGCUUGGGCAGCCUGAUCUAGUGGGAGGUGGAGAGGUGUCCCUGCCCAUGGCAGGGGGGUUGGAAUUAGAUGAUCUUUAAGGUCCCUUCCAACCUAAACCAUUCUACGAUUCCAUGAAAUCCACAGAGGUAGAACCAUUACUGGAAACAGCAAUGGCCUCCAUCAAGUAGCAGCUCUUUCUCACCUCAGCCCCCAUUUGUAGCCUCACAUUUGUAUAACUUAUAAGUCACUAUUUUGCUUCUAACUUCAAGCUUAACCCUAAGCUGAGAAAAGAGAAAGGAAUGAUGAAAAGGGUUACUAAAUAGA